rnacentral:lncRNA from 1 species
UUGUAUCUUGUUUUGUUUUUUCUAAGGAUUUAAUAACCUCUUUUGAUUUAUUUUUGUUUUUUAUCUCUAAUUUUUGCCUGGACCGCUUUUUUGAAGCUUUUAGUCCACCGAGAUUUCCCUAGUUUUUGCUUAAGUCGCCUAUUUGGGUAUUCGACUUAACAGACUUUCAUUUUUUAUUUUUUUUUCUUCUGAAGGGUUGUGACUACCAAGUCAAUGGUCA